CAUCCGAAUUAUGGAGUUGAGAUACAAAAAAUGGAAAAAAAGAUUUUGAGGUAUUAUGAAUCAUAUACUGUUUUCCUUUACUGAUUAAUUAUUUGUGCGUAUGUUUUUGUUAAUCUAGUUACCAAAAGCAUAGGCCUCUUUGCUCGCUCCUCAAUCAGAUCUUUCUCUGGACAAAGCCUUCUCAUGGUCAGUGUCGUUCUCUCCCAAUUUUGCACAAAUCGGAUACGAUAUUUUUAUUAUAGUUUUAUAUUAGUUUUUGGCAUUCUGUGUUGUUUUCUUGCCUCCAGAUUUCGUUGAUCGUUUUCCUCCAAAUUUCUUAAUUUCCAAGAUCCAAUUCCGUUUAAAAAACUUGGUUGUCAGUUUUGAUGCUUCAAUGGGCAUUUAGUUUUGAUUCUUUUUAAAGUUGAGGGCUUGUGGAAAAAUAAAAAAUAAUUCAAAAAUUGUUUUUUUUUCUUGUUUAGAUUUGAGAAUUUGGUCUGGUUAUUUUGUUGGUGGCAUAUUUGUAUUUUCUUUUUUUUUGUCAUCUGGAUAUUGAAGAUUUUAGUUGAAUUUUGGUUCUUUUACAUUUUUUAUGAUAUUCUUGUAACUUCGGUGAUCUGGGUGUUGAAGAUUUUAGUUCAAUUUAGGUUUGAAGAAUUGGGUUGUGGCAGUUUUGUAGCUUUGUCUGAUCUGGUAUUUUGUGGUAGUGGUAGAAGAAAUGUUCUAUGGUGCAGUUGUAUGGGAUCCUUGGCUAAUUGUUGCCCAAAUUGUUUGUCUUCAAUGCCUAUACUAUAUCAGCCUUGGUUUAUCUAUAUCCAUUCUUGUCGGGACUCGUGUAUCACGGAUGAGUCUUGUGUAUUUCUUUGACUUUGCUACAAUCACUGCCUCUACUCUCACCGGUUGGUGUGUUAUUGCUUCAAUUCUGCUGACCUCGAUUGCUGGGGCUGGAUUUAUGCUUCAUAUUGUUGAGAGGGCAAAGAAGUGCUUAGAUUUUUCAGCAACUCUGUACAUCAUCCAUCUUUUUAUAUGCAUCAUAUAUGGGGGUUGGCCUUCAUCAAUCACGUGGUGGGCUGUUAAUGGCACUGGACUUGCAGUGAUGGCUUUGCUAGGUGAAUAUCUGUGCAUUAGACGUGAACUACUAGAGAUUCCGAUAACACGCUACAGAGCAAAUGCUUAAAUAACAAGGACAACUCGAUAAGCAGAACAAUCUUUCUCUGGGAUUGCAACAUCAGUUUCUUCACCACUUUUGAAGGAGCAAAGCUUAUUGGAUACCAAUCUAAUCUGUGACUAAAAGAAUUGUUUUAAACCUAUGAUUAUAUUUCUAUGCAUGUGGGGACAACGGAAGAAGUUUUAGUUGGUGCUCAUUUGAUGGGUUGAUGGACCCCAUCAGACUUGACAUGCGUUGUGUAAGGAAACUGGCCUGGGUUGGUAAAGGGGAAACAGCUUCCUUAAUUGCACAAAAAGAGUUGCAUACCAAAUUUGUUACACAGUCAGUGCAGGACAGGAUGGGUUGGUCAGCAAAAUGGAGUGAGGCACAGGGUCCCAUGGUGUCUUCUGUUAGGGAGCUAUGUUUAACUUUGUUAAACAAAUCACGGUCAUAUAGCAUGGAAAAUUUGGCCCAAGGCAUCAUGCUUUGUUAGUGGCAUGGAGAACAAGAUGAAUGGUCAAUCAGAGAGGACUUUGAUUUAGUGAUCUUGGCUUCUUACUUUUCUUAAUUUUUGGGCAAUUUGUAGCUCUUCUUUCAAAUUGUAUUGAUGGUCAUAGUUUUAGGAUAAAACUUCUGUGGCUCUUCUAUAAUGUACAACAAAUAUACAUUUGUAGUUGAAUAUGUACUUACACAUUUUAGAUUA